GUAAGACAAGCGCACCACUCAGCUUCAACAAAUAGUGGGCUACCAACGCUCGCGAUUCAAAUUGGUCCAUGUUACCCUGUUCACUGACUAGACACUCAUAAGGAUUAAGGUACUGAAAGGGAAGCAGAUCUGUUGCAAGAUGAAUGGAUUUAGCAAUGAAGGGACGCGUGCUCUUCUGUCUCACGGGUCAGUGUCAUCAGACGCACAGUGCCUACCUGGCAACCAACAGUGAGCCCAGCCGCGCAUUCCACACAUUUGUGCUCGUGGCGUAUUCUGACAGCACCCACACAUGCUGCGGUGAGUCAUCAUUCCCUUCAAGACGCGGCCGUCGUUUCUCUGAUCAAGACAGCAAUUGUGCAUGGCCUUUAAUGCAGCAUCAAACUAGACUGGCUCAUGAUUUUCCUCGAGCCACUGUGUGGAAUGAGUCCCAAGUAUGAUAGGGCUGAUGAAUCCCUUCAGCGUCCUGUUGACAUAGCUGGUCAUGGUGUUUAGGGCUCCGUUUUAGAUAUUAUAAUCAAGUCACAUCAGAUCCAUGGGUUCUCAGAGUUGUCUUCGGGCGUGUUCAUUUAAUGCCGCCAUGGGUUUUUAAUGAGGGGCACAUUGUAGAGAAAGGCAAAUAGCGAUGUGAUUUUAAUAGGCUCACUAUGGUCCACUGGCAAGGGAAAAUAGUCAUUGCAUCGGUCCUCUUGGAGCGAAUCAUUUAAGUAAGCGAGGGGAGCUGGGAUGUUGCCUGCUCGUCAGAGUUCAGGCUUAUAGCGGGGCUGUGUCGACGAGGUGGCAUGUCGUCUUUCAAUGUAGAUAAGGUGUUUGGAAUACAUUAACCUUUUCCUCAUUUGUUUUGUGUGUGUACCCUUUUUG
rnacentral:lncRNA from 1 species